rnacentral:rRNA from 1 species
GGUUGAUCCUGCCAGUAGUCAUAUGCUUGUCUCAAAGAUUAAGCCAUGCAUGUCUAAGUAUAAACAACUUUGUACCGUGAAACUGCGAAUGGCUCAUUAAAUCAGUUAUAGUUUAUUUGAUAGUACCUUACUACUUGGAUAACCGUGGUAAUUCUAGAGCUAAUACAUGCUACAAGGCGCGCGUUUGCGGGCUGUAUUUAUUAGAUACAAAACCAAACCGGGGCGACUCGGAGUGGGUGAUUCAUGAUAACUUUUCGAAUCGUGGGGCCUUUGCGCCGACGAUGGUUCAUUC